rnacentral:rRNA from 1 species
AAGUGUCGGAUUACUUGGUUCAAGCAUGUAGAAGUAAGGAAUAGGCAAAUCCGUUCCUUUUUAACUUCGAGACGUGAGUUACGAGAGACCUAGUCUCAUAAAGUGAUUGAUUCCAUGCUUCCUAGAAAAACCUCUAAAUGUUGAACAAUAGGUGCUCGUACUGUAAACGGACACACGUACGCGGGUAGAGUAUACCAAGGUGUUUGAGAUAAUUAUGGCUAAGGAACUCGGCAAAAUAGCUCCGUAACUUCGGAAGAAGGAGUGCCUAUAUUAGGUGAAAGCUCUUGCAGCUGGAGCCGAAAUAGGUGGCACUGAAAUGGUGGAAGCGACUGUUUACCAAAAACACAGGCCUGUGCUAACCCGCAAGGGGAUGUAUACGGGCUGACGCCUGCCCGGUGCUGGACGGUUAAGGGGAUGGGUUAUCCUUCGGGAGAAGCUUAGAACUGAAGCCCAGGUAAACGGCGGCCGUAACUAUAACGGUCCUAAGGUAGCGAAAUUCCUUGUCGUCUAAUUAGCGACCCGCAUGAAUGGCGUAACGACUUCUAUGCUGUCUCGGCCAUAAUCUCAGCGAAAUUGUAGUGCUGGUGAAGAUGCCAGCUUCCCGUUGUGGGACGGAAAGACCCCGUGCACCUUUACUAUAACCUAGCACUGGAUUUUGAUGAUAAAUGCGUAGGAUAGGUGGGAGACUUUGAAGAUUCGAUUUCGGUUGGAUCUGAGUCGUUGGUGAAAUACCACCCUUUUACUGUUAGAAUCCUAACUGUAAUCCGUUAUCCGGAUUAAGGACAAUGUUAGGCGGGUAGUUUGACUGGGGCGGUUGACUCCUAAAGAGUAACGGAGUCGCUCAAAGGUUCUCUCAGCCUGAUUGGAAACCAGGCGUCGAGUGUAAUGGCACAAGAGAGCUUGACUGUGAGAUCGACAGAUCGAGCAGGUACGAAAGUAGGACAUAGUGACCCGGUGCCUCCAUGUGGGAGGGGCAUCGAUCAUCGGAUAAAAGGUACGCCGGGGAUAACAGAUUAAUCGCGCCCAAGAGUUCACAUCGACGGCGCGGAUUGAUACCUCGAUGUCGGCUCAUCGCAUCCUGGGGCUGAAGAAGGUCCCAAGGGUUAGGCUGUUCGCCUAUUAAAGCGGUACGCGAGCUGGGUUCAGAACGUCGUGAGACAGUUCGGUCCCUAUCUACAACGGGCGAAGGAAAAUUGAGAGGGCUUGCUCCUAGUACGAGAGGACCGGAGUGAACAAACCUCUAGUGUAUGAGUUGUUGUGCCAACAGCAGUGCUCAGUAGCUACGUUUGGAAAGGAUAACCGCUGAAAGCAUCUUAAGUGGGAAGCCUGCCUCAAGAUUAAUUUUCCCGAACCAUUAGGUUCCUAAAGAUCACUCGAAGACUACGAGUUUGAUAGGCACAGAGUGUAAGUCCUGUAAGGGAUUCAGCUAAUGUGUACUAAUCGAUCGUGAGCCUUUACU